UGGGUGUGGUAAGCAUUCCUCCUGUGCAGUGGGAAGCCCCACACUUGUUUAUCCAUCCACUAGUUAGUCACAGAAAACUUCUGUGGUUUUUAUCCGUUAUCAAUAAAGUUGGAUUGGACAUGUAGCUCAGUGGUAGAGCACCUGCUUGGUAUAUGCAAGGCCCUGGGCUCAACUCUAAGCACUGAAAGAAAAUGCUACAAACAUAAAGUAUAAAUCUUAAAUUAAAAAAAAAUCUUUUGAGACAAGAUUUUUAUGUAUCUUAGCUUGGCCUCAAAGUAGACAGUCAAGGAUGACCUUGAACUUCUGAUACCUCUACCUCCACUUAAGCUCUGGGAUUGCAGGUAGACACUACCAUACUUGUUUGGUGUGGUGCUGGGGACCAAAUCCAGGGUUUCACGCUGCUUGUACAUGAAAGGGGCUACAUCCUCGGCCCCAGGGUUUCAAUUUUACAGAACGGUUUCAUUUCUCUCGGCAGAGGCAAACAAACAGGCAUUUUGUUUCACUGGUUCUCAGCAACUCAUGAAUCGGGUACUGUUUUCCUGUAGUUUAUUGUAUAGGUUUCUCUUUUCUGUACAUGGACCUUGUGGUUGAUCUAAUGUGCACCCCAAUAAACUUAUCUGGGGUCAGAGAGCAGAACAGCCACUAGAUAUAGAGGCCAGAAAAUGGUGGCACACCCACCUUUAAUCCUAGCAUUCCGGAGGCAGAGAUCCGCCUGGAUCUCUGUGAGUUCAAGGUCACACUGGAAACAGUCAGGCAUGGUAACAAGAGCCUUUAAUCCCAGGGAGGAUGGCAGGAAGCAGAAAGGUAUAUAAGGAGUGAGGACCAGGAACUAGAGCUGGUUAAGCUUUUAGGCUUUUGAGCAGCAGUUCAGCUGAGAUCCAUUCGGAUGAGGACACAGAGGUUUCCAGUCUGAGGAUAUUGGCAAGGUGAGGUUGGCUAUGGCUUGUUCUGCUUCUCUGACCUUCCAGCAUUCACCCCAAUAACUGGCUCCAGGUUUGUUUUUAUUAAUAAGACCAUUUAAGAUUCGUGCUAGAGGACCUUUCAUUAAAUUCCCAAUGUCUCCAGUCAUGGCUCCUUCAUUCUAUUUUCUGUACCAAUACUUCUUUACUCUGGGAAAGCUAACAACAUGACGAUCCUUUUUAACCCCCACCUUUCACAGUGUAUCAUUCCCACGGUUCUUUCCACUGUCAUCUUUAUUUGGGCCACUGAAAUACAUUCUAGAUUUCAAGCACAGUUCCCAGUUGUCAGAAAAGUUCCAUUGGUUGACUCAAGUUGCUCAUCGAUUUGGUUGCAGCUCCCAUUGCUCUACCGAGAAGUAGGGUUUUCUACAAGAGAGUGCCGUCAAUGCCUGCCUCAGGUUUCACGGGCCAGAGCUUGAGAGACAGAGGAGACGGAACCAAUGCAAGGAACUCGGCCCAUCACAGGAACUAAUAAAAUCCCGAGUUCAUUCCUCAUCUGCCAUUUGCCCUUCCGAAGUCUCCGCUAGUCCACUCUUCUGCAUCACCCCGUUUUCAGUUUGCCUGACUUACUCCAUCUCAGCUAGCUGGGGAAGGCCGUGCCACGGUGUGAAUGAGAACAGGCCGAGGGGACUUGUGAUGUCGGCCUCUGUUUUAAAGCCUGUGUCCGAAUGAACGAGGUGCGCCGUGUAAGGUAAGAAUUAAAGAGAACACAGCGACUUGAAAGGCCCUGAUUAAAGGCCUGCUAGGCCACACGGCUUAAGUUAGUGUUGUGGCCACAGAAGAGACAGGUUUAGUAUGCGGCUCCUGCUCUCCAGGAACCCAGCUAUGGGAAGCCUGGCCCAGGGGAAAUGCAUGGCUACACACAGUCAAAAGUCAACAAGGCUACACAGGAAGAGGAGGAGGAGGAGAGAUGGGAGCUGGGGUAACAUGCAGGCCAGGCAGCUCCGUGCUGGACCUUCAUGGAGACCAAAGGCAUAUUCCACUGGGGCCAAGAGACCUUGACAGGGUAAUUAUUUUUCUCCAGAUGGUUUUGUCAUUUUAAAAAAAUUAUACAGUGAGAUUAUUUUCCUAAAAGGAAACCAAGAGGCGGCUCCUGAGGGCAUUUCUUAUUACUCCUGACCCUGCUCGAGAGCCUUCCCAUCUUUGCACAUGGUAGACAGGGUUUCAGGGACCUUGACUCGGGGUGGGGAAGAGUGGCCCAGCUGUGAAAAAGUGAGUCAUGGCAUCUUCACUAGGGAGUCUCGAGUUACCGGGACAGGGCUCAGCGACCACUGUCACUCAGCAGGCUGCCGGCACCGCUGUGUACUUUAGCUGAGUUCAAGCAUUUGGGAGCUCAUUUCUCAUAUUAUAUCUGGGUUUACUCCUACCAGUCACAGUCUCUUCAUCCUAGGAGAGAAUCUAUUAUGUAAAAACCCACUCUUUGUUAAGCACAUGGAAGGUCCUCAUGGAGAGCCCUGGCUAGAAAAAGCCGGCCCCACGGGGGAGAGGCCAUGGCUAAACCUUUGCGCAGAUGGCCAGCAGGAGCGGAGGCGGCCAGGCCCACUGUGACUUUUCCCUCGCAGCUGUGUGAAAAAUGCUCAAACAGUAGCAUGUAGAAUUACCCAGAAGAUUGCCGAAGCAUGGAUUAGAGUCCCACUUCAAGGGCCUCUGGCCCAGGGAAGAGACCAAGGAUUUAUCUUUCUCACAAGUUCCCAGAGAUGCUGGUAUUGCUGCUCCUGGGACCUUACUUGGAGAAUCACUGACCCAGCGGGAGAUUAAAGGCAAUGCUUUGAAGUUA